rnacentral:rRNA from 1 species
CCUACGGGUGGCAGCAGUGGGGGAUAUUGCACAAUGGGGGGAACCCUGAUGCAGCGACGCCGCGUGGGUGAAGAAGCGUUUCGGCGUGUAAAGCUCUGUCAGCAGGGAAGAAAAUGACGGUACCUGAAGAAGAAGCCCCGGCUAACUACGUGCCAGCAGCCGCGGUAAUACGUAGGGGGCAAGCGUUAUCCGGAUUUACUGGGUGUAAAGGGGGCGUAGACGGCGAUGCAAGCCGGGGGUGAAACCCGGGGCCUAACCCCGGGACUGCUUUUGGAACUGCGUGGCUGGAGUGCAGGAGGGGCAGGCGGAAUUCCUGGUGUAGCGGUGAAAUGCGUAGAUAUAAGGAGGAACACCAGUGGCGAAGGCGGCCUGCUGGACUGCAACUGACGUUGAGGCCCGAAAGCGUGGGGAGCAAACAGGAUUAGAUACCCUUGUAGUC